CAGUGCGAUCGGUCACUAACUCUCAGGGCUCAGUUACCUGAGGGCAGCAGUGCGAUUGGACAUUACUACUUUCUAGAGGGAAGAGAUGGAGAAUUAUCUCUUCCCUCAGGAAUUCCUUACUGAUGGUUGGCUGAGCCCCAGUCCCACUCUCUGGGCCGUUAAUGCCAUCUUUGCCUUUGUGUGUGGACUGGGGCUCUUCGUCUUUUUACUUUCCUACUUCCACCCUGAUCCGUCCUCACCACAAGGCAAGAAACACAUGAAGAGCGGGAAGUACCAAGUGGAGCCACGGAGAAGGAGCAACAGAAGCAAAAAACAUCAGACCGUGAAAGGUUUCAGAGAAUUUCUGAAGAAUCUAGAAGAGGUUCAGGACCUGUUCUCCUUUCUGGAAAGCCACCUGGAGAGGCUCUCUGACCAGGGGGGCUUUCACCAGUUCUUACAUCAAGCAGCCCCUGGGCAGGUGCACCGAGGGGUGCCAGCUGGAGCCCGUCAGCCAUGCAGGGAGCCUCUGCAAGAUGCUACUCCCGCUGUGGCCCCAUCACCUGCCCUAACUCCACUGACGGGGUCUCCUCGGCCUCUGGCCGCCACCCUGCCGGCAGGACCAAUGACCUCAAUUUCCGUUGCUUCACACUCCUCCCUGACUACUUCCUGGCUAGUAGAGCCUUUCCUCCCCCCGGAUGGCUUUCCAAACCAGCCACUUGCUCUUCCCCCUUCCCCGUCAUGUCUCCCUCCUUCAGAGGCCUGCCCUGGGCCUCUGACAGCCUCCUUGGCCCCAGAGCGGCCAGACUCUCCUUUGACUCUCCCUCAGUGUGACUCAAGGGCACCCCUGCCGUGCCCCAUCCCACAGAGCUCGGCUCCGCACACGCCUUGGUCAGCUGACAGGUCAGCUUCUCCUGUCCCAGCCAUCUCGGGCCUGGGCCGCUCACACUGCUCCAUUUCGGCCCUGUCCUGGUGGCAGGCAGCUGCCAAUGCCUGGAACCUGUCCACCUCAACAUGCUUGGAGUCCCGUCAAGCGCCUCUGUCCCAUGGCCCACCAGAAGCCUUGUUCUGGGGAGACCCCACACCCAGACAGGAAGAGACUAGGAUCCCCCCUUCCAUCAACCCAGACGUCCAGAAGCUUCUGGAGAUACUCACUGCCAAUAGAAAAGAACUGAGGUCUUGGAGGGAGAAGGACAAGAAAGAAAGGUCAAAAUACCAGCUGACCUCUUUCGGGAGAAUGUUCAAGUCCCCAGGUGACGGGCAGGACACCGUGGGCCACCCGUCCUUCUGGAGCAUGAGGGGCAAAGCAAAACAGCUGCUUGGUCCUGAGAAGCCCCCACGUCCCAAGAUUCCAAGGGACAAUUUAGAGCAGAAAUGCCUCCAGCUCUUCUGGGGUCUCCCCUUUCUGCACAGCGAGUCCCUGGUGGCCACUGUCAGGGUGACCGAUCCCCCAUUGGAGUUCCCGUCUGUCAUAUUCAAUGAGCUCUCUCAUGCCUUGCCACUGCAGAGUCAGGGCAACGUGGUUCCACGCCUCUCCCUGACCCAUGACUUACAUGACCCUUCAGCCAGGCCCCAACCCUUGACCCUGAGAUUGUCCCAGUCCCUGCCCCUUCCUCCAUCUCAGCCCCAAACCCUCCCUCUGACUCAGCCCCAGCCCCUCCCUCUGACUCAGCCCCUUCCCCAGCCCCUCCCUCUGACUCAGCCCCUUCCCCAGGCCCUCCCUCUGACUCAGCCCCUUCCCCAGCCCAUCCCUCUCACUCAGCCCCAGCUCCUCCCUCUGACUCAACCCCAGCCCCUCCCUCUGGACUGGCCCCUGCCCCAGCCCCUCCCUCUGACUCAGCCCAAGCCCCUCCCUCUGACUCAACCCAAGCCCCUCCCUCUGACUCAGCCCAAGCCCCUCCCUCUGACUCUGCCCAAGCCCCUCCCUCUGACUCAGCCCCAGCCCCUCCCUCUGACUCAGCCCAAGCCCCUCCCUCUGACGCAGCCCCUUCCCCAGCCCCUCCCUCUGACUCAGCCCCAGCCCUUCCCUCUGACUCAGCCCCUGCCCCAGCCCCUCCUUCUGACUCAGCCCAAGCCCCUCCCUCUGACUCAGCCCCUUCCACAGCCCCUCCCUCUGACACAGCCCCAGCUCCUCCCUCUGGACCGGCCGCUGCCCCAGCCCCUCCCUCUGACUCAGCCCAAGCCCCUCCCUCUGACCCAACCCAAGCCCCUCCCUCUGACUCAGCCCAAGCCCCUCCCUCUGACCCAACCCAAGCCCCUCCCUCUGACUCAGCCCAAGCCCCUCCCUCUGACCCAAUCCAAGCCCCUCCCUCUGACUCAGCCCAAGCCCCUCCCUCUGACUCAGCCCAAGGCCCUCCCUCUGACUCAGCCCCAGCCCCUCCCUCUGACUCAGCCCCAGCCCCUUCCUCUGGAUCAGUCCCAUCUCAGGCCUCUAACUGAGCCCCAGACCCAGGCAGGCCUUGCACCCUCUGUCCCAUUUGGACUCUCGUCUCUGCCACCCGUGAUGGGGAGGUGCCGGGUGUCUUGCCCUGUAGCCCAGAAGACACCAUCUUACACGCCAGCUGCUUUUCAAAACCUGGAAUAUCACUUUCUGGAGAAGCAACUAGAAAGGGGCAAGGUACCCCCUGUGAUGAAAAGAUCUCCGCAAGUCUUUAGCCAAGGUCCUCCUGACCUUCCGCAGGGUGGCCAGGCCCCCGAGGGCCAUAGGUCAGUCCCUGUCCUUCCUGGAGAAUUGAUCGACUCUGAGCUCUGGGAGCAACCGGAUUGGCACCUUUGGAAGAGGCUCAUGAAGCAAGGAAGGGGCCCGUCCUGCAGGAUCCAGCCAUCCCUAGAGAUACAGCCUCACCAAGAGUUCCAGAAGGUGCCCCAGGCACACAGCUGGCACAGUCCCAAGGCCAAGUCUGAGUCUACAAAUGGAAGCUGCCAGGCCACACAGAAGACUGGGUCCAGGUACCCAGGAAGGACCGUGCCAAGAAAAAGACUGGGCAAGGAUUCAAGGUCCAGUGCAGGGAGGAUCCAGAAAGAUCUACACAGGGGCUCAGCGAGCUCUCCAGAGAAGGCUCCAGGAAGAAAUCGUGAGGAGUCAGACACAGACAUGAAGCCCUCCACAAGCAGCACAGACGGGAAGCUCCUAGAGAAGGACCUGAGAGCCCAUUUAAGGAA